CGCGGGGUAGGGCAGUUGGAAGCCCGUGAGGCUCAUAACCUCAAGGUCGCAGGUUCGAAUCCUGCCCCCGCUA
rnacentral:tRNA from 1 species